rnacentral:lncRNA from 1 species
AUAGAUAUACACACACCACUCAAAAGAAAAAAACAUUACACACACACUACCUCACUGUAUAAGACACCAUCGUCUUCUCCGCAAUUCACAAAAAAUCACUCUCACAUACGCAUACUACUCACCUUCACUGGAAAAGGCUCUCAUACGGAUGCACAAUUCUCUCUACACAGUACACACGCAGCUCACCGCACACUCACCGAAGACGAAAAAUUUCUCACAAAAAAAAUGCACACACAUCGUGGAAGCCAGUGGAGAAGAAAAAGAGUGGAAUCGGGUGAAAACAGUAGAAAAGAUGGAGAAACAUUGAUGAAUUGAGGGGGGAGAAACAGUGAACGAUCGAGAAAGGAAGGUCGAUUUUCUGAUGAAAUCUCGUCGGAAACGUCAUCUCUACCGACAAUCUGAAUCCAAAAGCCACCAGCUCCUUCAUUUGUCCAAAAAUUCGAUUAAACCCACAUCACAUCGACUCAAGGAACCGACCAUUCCUUCUCCGUCCCCGUCACCGUCGAGUUCUUCGGUGAAGCUCACUAGAGCCCCGGUAAGUAGCGAAAUCCGUGGUCAAAACAGUGCACAAAUUCUAGUUGAGUCAUCGGUCUUUUGGGUUCUAUUUCGAAUCACCAAGUUGGGUCCAAUUUGAAGUCGAAAUUCGAUUCGAUUUUGGUCGUUGUUAAGGUCGGCUUGAGGUUCUAGUCACGGUUUUAAUCGGAAUAAUACAUCGAUUUUGAAAGCGGCAUUGAGGUCCAAUUCUAUCUUCUCUCCCUUUAAUUUUUACGUGAAUAUGAAUGAUUUGUUGCUUGACAUACUUGAAUCUUUGUUUUGCGUUGGUUGAUGUUGGACUUGAAUGUGAAAAUUUGGAUUAGUAGUUGAAGAAUUGAUUUAUUAUUUUGAGAAUGAAUUCGGGGAGGGAUUGGUUUUGAUGAAAGAUGAAUGUUGGUUAUUUUGAUUCAUUAAACGCGAUAGUAUCAUGAUAGGAUGAAAUUGGUAGGCAAAUGGUAGGCUGGCUAGGCAAAUUUAGGAAUUGUUGGUCGGGAAAUGUUUUGAGGGAUUUGUAUUGAUUUAUCCGGGAAAUGCCCCGAAGUGUUAUGUGCGCAGAGGAGGCUCGUUAUUAAGGCCCGAGGCAUCGGGUAAGACAUUGGAGCGUAGUUUUAGAAUUAGCUUAUAAUAGGAUUUAUAUUUUCGCAUUUUUUUUCUAUUUUUAGGACUAUAUAAUUGGACUGAACACUAAAGUUCGGAUUAUUUUGUUUUGUUUGUUUGAUUGAUUGUUUUAUAUGCUUUUGUGUGGUUUAUAUAUUCGUAAUGUUAAAUUAGUCGAUAUGCUCUACCAAGCGACCGUGGUCAAAUCACGGAACCGAGGGGUGCCUAACACCUUCCCCUCGAUCAACAUAAUUCCUUAGUUGGAAUCUCUGUUUGCAAACUAAUUUAAAGAGUCAAAUCAUUUUUGAAAGAGGAUUUUCAAAUCUGACUUGGCACAUCAGAUUUAUGUCAAGUGGCAACUCUGAGUUAAUUGUAAAAUGAAUUCUUUUUGAAAUAAUUUUUAUUUUGUCACUUUAAUAAUAAAAAUCCUUUCAAACUUUAAAAUCAAUUCUUUUUUGGUUAAAAAAAGGGGUGUGACAAGUUGAACUUCUUGACUUUCAUUAAAAUACUUUGCAAUAGAUAAAAUGGUCUUUCACUUUUUCUCUUCAAUUAUUAUUUAAUUAAAUUACGCAAUCCUAAAAUAUAUAAUAAUAACAAAUAUAUGAUAAAAAAAUAUUAAGAGAACUAAAAUAUUUGAAUAUAUAUGAAAAGUAUAAUUAGUUAAGAAAAAUUAAUGCCACUUUAUAAAAAUUCUAAAUAAAUAAUAUGUCAAUUAGAGCAACAAAAAAAGGUUCAUAAAAGUAUUCUUGAUCUUGAAUAUGAAUGAAAUAAUAUUGAAGAAGCUAUAUUUAAUUUAUAUAAUUAAAAUAAGGAACAUAUUUAUAUAUAGGAUAAUAAUACUUAUGUUUUUUAAUCUUUUUGAAAACUUAUUAUUUCUAUUUAAUUUGGGAAAUAAAGUUUAUCCCAAGUAAAUUGUCUCCCUAAUCAAAUAGGAAAGAGGUUUAUGUAUGAUACUAUAUAUAUAAAGGGUGAUGAAAAGAAAAAUUCAAAAAAUGAAUGAUGCAAGUCAUUAUUGAUUGAUUCUCCAAUAUUCUUAUGCUGGUGAGAAAAAUUCAUGGGGAAAAUGUGAUUUAGACUUUGCGUCUAUUAUAAACGGAAUUAAAGGUUUGUAGAGAAUUUUAUUUCUAAUGCAUAUUGAUAUUAUUUAUAUUGUUAAGGUUAAAUUAUUAGACGUCCUUCAACAAAUAUUAUUAUAUGCUUUUGUUUUAUAUGCUUAAUAUUAUUUUUUGUGUUGGUUGGUACUAUGAUUUGAUGUAUGUCUAAUGCCUUAUUUUGCUUGAUAAGGUUUGAUGUGUUAUUAAUGCCCUUGAUAAAGGUGGUAGAUGAAUGGCUUUGAGAUUUUUUUAAAAGUAAAAUUAGGUAUGAUCACAUUGGUUUGAUAUCUCAAUUGUCAUAUUGUUUUGUUGUAAUUUCUAUUCUAUUGUCAUCUAUUAUUUUUGUCAUUAUCCGUUGUUUAUUGUACUUUGUAAUUACUUCUUUUUUGAACAACUUUGGGUGAUUUUUCCUUGAGUCCAGGUCUUUCAUCAAGUUGAAGUGAAAAAAUAUAACUAAUUAAUGAAUGUUUUCAUAUUGUGAGCAGUUGAGAGUAUUCGAGAUUUUAAAGAUACCGAACAUAUUGUUUUAUUGUAGUUUCUAUUAUGUUAUCAUCUACUGUUUUUAUUAUUAUCUGAAUGACUUUGGGUUGUUUUUUCAUGUGUCGAGAUCCUUCAUCAAGUUUAAGUGUGAAUACAAGACUAAUUGAUAAAUGUUUUCAUAUUUUGAGCAGUUGAAGGUAUAUGAGAUCUUGAAGAUGUCAAAAAAAUUCAUCAUUCGCUUUCUUUUUGGUAUGCAAUCUAUUAUAUAUCUUUGAAUUUUGAGUUUUGGUAAUUGAGUUUGUUUUAUUAUUUUUUCUUUUCAGUUUAGUUUGUAAUUGAUAGACAUAUUAUGAAAUUUGUUUUGUGAAGUUGCAGUUUUGGAGGUUCUUGAAUAGACAUAGCUUGCUUAUAUUUUAUUAUUUAUUAGAUGCAUAUUUUCAUAAAAUUUUAAUGGUUCUAACCAAUUUAUGAAUACUAUAUAAACUAGAGAAAGCGCGG